ensembl:snRNA U6 U6 spliceosomal RNA
GUGCUCACUUCAGCAACACAUAUACUAAAAUUGGAACAAUACAGAUAAGAUUAGCAUGGCCCCUGUGCAAAGAUGACAUGCAAAUUCGUGAAGCAUUCCAUAUUUCU